GUCCUUUUGUUAAUAAUUUAAGGUCUGACCUGCCCACUGAAAUUUUAAAUGGCCGUGGUAUUUUGACCGUGCUAAGGUAGCAUAAUCAUUAGUUUUUUAAUUAAAAACUGGAAUGAAGGGUUGGAUAAGAAAAUAGCUGUCUCUAUUAAAUUUAAUUAGAAUUUUAUUUUUAAGUUAAAAAGCUUAAUUAUUAUUAAAAGACGAGAAGACCCUAUAGAGUUUAAUUAUUAGGUAAAAAUUAUAUUUUAGUAUUAAAUUAUUUAUUUUAUAAUAUAAUUUAAUUGGGGUGAUUGAAAAAUUUAAUAAACUUUUUUUAUUUAAAAACAUUAAUUUAUGAAUAAAUGAYCCAAUAUUUUUGAUUAUAAGAUAAAAUUACCUUAGGGAUAACAGCGUAAUUUUUUUAUAAAGUUCAUAUUAAAAAAAAAGAUUGCGACCUCGAUGUUGGAUUAAAAUAAAUUUUUGGUGUAGAAGCUAGAAUAUUGGUCUGUUCGACCCUUAAAAUUUUAC
rnacentral:rRNA from 1 species